rnacentral:SRP_RNA from 1 species
UCGCCGGUCCUGUGCGAUGUGGCCCGUGAACCCCGUCAGGUCCGGAAGGAAGCAGCGGUAAGCGGUCUCCCACAUGCGCCGCGGGGCAACCGGUGUCGG